rnacentral:RNase_P_RNA from 1 species
UAAGCAGGCUUAUCUUAUCGUCAUGUUUUAAAUGUGAAGGAAAGUCCGAACACCAAAGAGUAUCAUAGCGGAUAACAUCCGUCCAACGUAAGUUGAGGACCAGUGCAACAGAAAGCAAGUACAGUUAGGCUGUAGUGAAACCAGGUAAACUCUAUGAGGUGCAAUGCCAUGUAAAUUAGAGAUCCAAAUUUUUGGGAGAGAGUUACUCGCUCGAUUCUAAAGGGUAGGCAGAUUGAUUCUAAGAGUAAUUUUAGAACUAGAUAAAUGAUAAGAACCUUCUAAAGGAAACAGAAUUCGGCUUAUUAGCCUGCUUUUUUA